ACCACUAUUUGAACAGUUGCACAACUGGUGCAAUCAAAUGAUGCUUUGUUGUGCUAUGCAUAGAUUCAGGUAUUCAGUGUGGUGUUAUGCAUAACACAACAGAGCUUUAUUGCUCCAUAUUUUCCAAUCACUGCUGUGAUAAUGGAAACCUUGGCAUAGGAUGAAUCUAUGAAAUAUGUCAAAACUUGGCAAACCCCAAUCAGUGAUGUUGAAGAGGGCCUUUUGCCAUCAACAGCUGUUAAAAAUGUGGGAUGAAGCCUAAAGUGGAAAAAAUGUUAAAGGUUUCAUCUGAGUGUGAGAGAGUGAUGCUGUGUCUGUUUCAGUGCUUUCAGUGGGACAGUGGACGCACACUACCACCACUUUUAAAAUGUACUCUUUGAUGUAACGUGACUUUUUCUCACGUACCUUCAAUUCUCACAAGCUGUCGGUAGCAUAGGCAUUGAAUUGCAUAUGGACGUGUCCAUGCCAAUCUCAAAUGAUGGCUGAAAUGUCCACACCAAUAUUUAUCGUUAUCGAUAAGGCUGAAGGAUAAAAAUGCGCCCCAUGCGGCAUACAAGGGUUUAAUCCUUUCCCACUUUGGCACCGCCUCCUAAAUAAGUUUUUGAGACAGGUCUGCUUUUUGAUUGGCUUAGCUCCCUGUAAGCUGCAGAGCAUGUGAGCGGAGCUGAGUGGCGAGAAUUUCCGCUCCCCGCUUAUGUGGGUGUUCGCUGCUUCUCUUCAUCGCUCAAAGUUAUACCAGACAGCUCCGCUCACCUAAAAUUUCAUUCAGCUCUGGAGAAAUCGCUCCACGCUCGCUCAAAUUUAAAAGAGGGAGCAAUUCCUGACAUUACACCUUUACUUUAUGACCUGUCUGCUUGCUUUUUGAAAUAUUUUACAAACUCCAUAUCUCAACAAAUGACCUCUGAUGUAGGCUAACCCUUGAAGGCACACGUGAGUCUGUGUGGACCUGUGCAUGCCCUAGACUCAUGGAGAGCGGUAUGGGAAUGGAACUGGAGCGAAACGGAACCAUCGCUCUGGCCUUUCGAUUAAAACCUGCUCUGCGCUCCAACUAUAUUUCGCACACUCCACUCUGCUCACCUGCCCUUGUAGGCUGUCAAAGUUGUUUCACUUGCAGGCUUUUCCAGUAUUGACAAGAUGAGGUCGACACUGUGCAACACAUGUCCGAGGAUGUCGGGCAAGAAACAAAGUGUAUGUCAUUUGAGGAAAAUAAUCCCCCCUCAUACUGCUAAUGAAUGCAAAAGAUUGUUUGCAACCGUUAUGGUUAGGCUAAGUCCCACCAAUGUCAAAAUCAAGACUGUUUCACUUCGAAAAGAUGUCCACAGAUACUCAGGUUCCCAGAUGGAGGGAGUUGUGUUACACAUCAAACAGCCUGCACCGGUGCUGAUACAGUGAAUUGCGAUCCGUGUUGUUUCCCAGGUAAACACACUGAAGUGGGCUGUUGGAGCUGUAGUGUCUCUGGGGAAAGCAAAGAAGGAGAAGAAAGAACCAUUCAUGACACUGACUCUUCAUUUCCACUAUGACAACUGGCUCUGCGGCAUGGUAUUAUUCCAUAGAUUGACAGUUAAUGCAAUUUAUUGUAAUUCUAGUAGCUCCUUACCCCUUCCUCUGUUUUAAAUGUGAUGACAUAAAGUUUAGUCUGCAGAUUUUAA